GAUGAACGCUGGCGGCGUGCCUAACACAUGCAAGUCGAGCGGAGAUUAUUAGCAAUAGUAAUCUUAGCGGCGGACGGGUGAGUAACGCGUGGGUAACCUGCCUUGUACAGGGGGAUAACACAGGGAAACUUGUGCUAAUACCGCAUAACAUACUUGGGUGGCAUCACUUGAGUAUCAAAGGAGCAAUCCGGUAUAAGAUGGACCCGCGUCCAAUUAGCUAGUUGGUGGUGUAACGGACCACCAAGGCGACGAUUGGUAGCCGAACUGAGAGGUUGAUCGGCCACAUUGGGACUGAGACACGGCCCAGACUCCUACGGGAGGCAGCAGUGGGGAAUAUUGCGCAAUGGGGGAAACCCUGACGCAGCAACGCCGCGUGAAGGAUGAAGGUUUUCGGAUCGUAAACUUCUUUGAUGAGGGAAGAAUAAUGACGGUACCUCAAAAACAAGCCACGGCUAACUACGUGCCAGCCGCCGCAGUAAGAC
rnacentral:rRNA from 1 species